AGGUUGGGAUUUUUUGGGAUUGUAUCUGCAAAGGCUACAAUUUUUUUCUUUUCGAUAUUUGCUCUAUUAGUGCAUCAGUGAUUUCCUUUUGGAUACUUCUUUUGAUUUGAGCCUUCCUAGUUUAAUUUUUUUUAUUUUGGCUUUUUUGUUUGUUUUAGGUUUGAAGUUAAAUUUUAUUUUGUAGUGAAGUUCAUUACUCUGCUGCUUGAAUUUGCUUCUUUGCAUAUUUGUUAGAAUGUAAAAUGUUCGAUCAUUUGCCUCAAUGAAAAUUGAACCUUGUUUGCAUAUUUGGGUUUUCAUCUUCGAUGUCGUUGUUUCUUCCUUUGAUGUUGUUGGUCUAG
rnacentral:lncRNA from 1 species